AUGAUCCGCAACAUCCCCAACAAGCUCACCCGCCCCUCGAUGAUGAAGCUGCUGGACGACCACUGCGCCCGCGUGAACAGGCGGCGCGGCCCCGCCGCGUACGAUUUCCUCUACCUGCCCAUGGACUUCAGCAGCAGGCAGCGGUGCAGCAACAAGGGGUACGCCUUCGUCAACUUCACGACGGCCGAGGCGGCGCGCGGGCUGCACUACGCCCUGCACGGCCGCGGCUGGCACCGCUCGCUCGGCAGCGCCAAGAUCAUCAACAUCGCCGCCGCCUACAUGCAGGGCCGGCACAGGCUGGUGAGGCACUUCAGCCGCUCCACCUUCGCGUGCCACACCGACGAGUACCUCCCGGCCGUCUUCUCGCCGCCGCGCGACGGCACCGCCGACCCGCCCCCGGCCGAGCCCAGGCACCUCGGCCGACGUGUUCCCCCGCGCGUCCCCGCCGUCCAGCCGGCGCAGCAGCUGGUGUGGGUGCGUCGAGGCGAGGCUAUCGCUAGCCAGCUAGCCACUCCAAGCAUGGUCACCUGA
rnacentral:rRNA from 1 species